rnacentral:rRNA from 1 species
CAUACCUAUUCGAAGGGAUAGGGUCGGUUCGGCCGGGUUUCACACAGGUGUUGCAUGGCUGUCGUCAGCUCGUGUCGUGAGAUGUUGGGUUAAGUCCCGCAACGAGCGCAACCCUCAUCCUUAGUUACCAUCAGGUAAUGCUGGGGACUUUGAGGAAACUGCCAGUGAUAAACUGGAGGAAGGUGGGGAUGAUGUCAAGUCAUCAUGGCCCUUAUGGAGUGGGCUACACACGUGCUACAAUGGUGGCUACAAUGGGCUGCAAAGUCGCGAGGCUAAGCCAAUCCCUUAAAAGCCAUCCCAGUUCGGAUUGUACUCUGCAACUCGAGUGCAUGAAGUUGGAAUCGCUAGUAAUCGUGGAUCAGCACGCCACGGUGAAUACGUUCUCGGGUCUUGUACACACUGCCCGUCACGCCAUGGGAAUUGGUUUCACUCGAAGCU